CGAGCGAACCAAUUGAAAGCCUGGCUUUCGUGAGGUUAGCGGCGGACGGGUGAGUAACACGUGGGUAACCUGCCCUAUAGACUGGGAUAACUCGCGGAAACGCGUGCUAAUACCGGAUAACACAUCAAAGUGGAUGCUUUGAUGUUGAAAGAUGGUUCUGCUAUCACUAUAGGAUGGGCCCGCGGCGCAUUAGCUUGGUGGUGGGGUAACGGCCUACCAAGGCGACGAUGCGUASCCGACCUGAGAGGGUGAUCGGCCACACUGGGACUGAGACACGGCCCASACUCCUACGGGAGGCAGCAGUAGGGAAUCUUCCACAGUGGGCGAAAGCCUGAUGGAGCMACSCCGCGUGAGCGAAGAAGGUCUUCAGAUCGUAAAGCUCUGUUGUAAGGGAAGAACAAGUGCAGUAAUAACUGGSUGCCCCUUGACGGUACCUUACUAAAAAGCCACGGCUAACUACGUGCCAGCAGCCGCGGUAAUACGUAGGRGGCAAGCGUUGUCCGGAAUUAUUGGGCGUAAAGCGCGCGCAGGCGGUCUCUUAAGUCUGAUGUGAAAGCCCCCGGCUUAACCGGGGAGGGUCAUUGGAAACUGGGAGACUUGAGUGCAAGAGAGGGAAGCGGAAUUCCAUGUGUAGCGGUGAAAUGCGUAAAGAUAUG
rnacentral:rRNA from 1 species